rnacentral:lncRNA from 1 species
GAGAAGUUUCCCAAGUUUAUUUAUAGUUGCUCUUGUUUGAUACUUGAAGCUUGGAAGUAGUUGCAAGUUGUUCUUCCUUAUACAAGUUGUAAGCUUUGUGCCAUUGUUGUAUGGGCCAUGGCAUCAGUUUUUUCUUUCCAGCUAUCACCUUACUUUUUGACAAAUUCAGUAAUCAAGGGUCAGUUUCGAGUGAGAGUUCAGAAUGUAGGUAGUAGGGAAUCGAAAGUGCUCUCCUCUGAUUCAAUUGUAGUGAAUAAAACUUCUUUCAUUGAUCAGAAAAAGAAGAAUGGAGUUCUUUAUGAUGGAGGUACUGUGGUGGAAGAGGAGAGGGCUUUGAUUAAUGGAGAAAAUGGGAGAUUGGGAUCUGUAGCACAGAACAAGCGCAUGAAAGAUGUUUCAAAAGAUUUGGAAGCGUUGUGGGAUGAUGGAUAUGGCACCAAGACAGUGAAGGAUUAUCUUGAUGUAGCCAAGGAGAUGAUUAGGCCUGAUGGAGGGCCACCUCGGUGGUUUUGCCCCCUUGAGUGUGGACAGCCUCGAAAAAAUUCUCCAACUCUUCUGUUUUUACCAGGUAUUGAGUCUCUUUGUGGAUAAGCUGUUUUAAGUUGAAAUUUUACUUCUCUACAAGUUCUGCAAAAGGAGAACAAAAUAACAAAUGGAUAGACUUCCUAAUAGACGAGAUUUUGGCUUCCUGGAAUUGAUUUGGAUCUUUAAUAUUUGAGUAAUUUUUGGUGAAUUCAACUUUACCAUGUAAGUUUGUAGGAUUUUCAGAAUACUGAAAUUUUCUUUCGUAUUGAUACUUGCAGGGAUGGAUGGUGUUGGCUUGGGACUUAUUUUGCACCAUAAAGCCCUUGGGAAGUAAGUUCUUUUUAUUUCUACUCUCAUUACGACUGCAAAGACUUAUGUUCAUAUUUAAAUAAUGAAGGUCCGAAUGUUCAUCCCAAAAAAGAUGAGAACAAAAGUAAGUUGAGAUCAUGUCUUAUGGGAAAUUCAAAUAGGCAUCCCAAGUCAAGGAUGGUUUUGGGUCUGCAGCUGAAUGCUCCUGAAACACCCUAUGAUUGCUAGUUUCCCAGUGGAAAAUCCACUUUCAGUGCCACUGUUGUAUAUACAACAGAUUUAUUCUUAUCGUUGAUUAUGAUAAGACUCACAGGAAAUCCACCAUGAUCAAUGAUCAUAAAUCAUAAUAAAAUCAUUGUACAUGCUCCAGUUUAUUUUAUAUUUCUUUAAUUUCUGCGUCCAUUCCCUUUUCAAACUAUAUGAACGACUAAAGAUUUAUUGCACUGAUGCUUUAUGGCAAAAAAGCAGCUGUAAACUCUUGCUGCAUACAUCAUGUGUUAGCGGUUGAAAAUUUUGGCAUAUGCAGGGUGUUUGAGGUAUGGUGCCUUCAUAUUCCAGUGUACGACAGAACACCAUUUGAAGGUAUAACUUGGAAUGCCUGCAAAUUUAUUUGAAUUUACUUGCUUGAGUUUCUUAGUGAUUUCUCUGCAAUGAUAACUCAGAAAGAUGAAAAUUUGAGAUGAAAUAAUUCAUGAGUAACUUUAUGCCAACCGGUGAAAUAAGAAUAGUUUACUUUUUUUUUAAUAGAAAAGUUACUAUUUAUCAGUAAUUUAAUGUUAUUUUAUUCCAUGAAGGACUAGUGAAAUUUGUUGAAGAAACAGUGAGGACUAAGCAUGCUGCAUCACCAAAUAGACCAAUUUAUCUAGUGGGGGAUUCUUUUGGAGGAUGUCUCGCACUUGCUGUUGCUGCCCGUAAUCCUAAAAUUGACCUUGUCCUGAUACUAGCCAAUCCAGGUCAGUUCAGAGAUAAGCAGUAGUUUUCACCAUAUAUUCUUUGUAACUUCCUGGUUUGCACUCUUCAAGUUAGUCUGAUUUGUGGCCUUCUGUUUUAGCCACAUCAUUUGGCAGGUCACAACUACAGCCCCUGCUUCCAAUUUUGGAGGCUUUGCCUGAUGGAUUACAUGAUACAGUUCCCUACCUUCUUAGCUUUGUUAUGGGUAUGUUGUCUUUUGCUCUGCAAUCUUACUCGUUUACUUUCCCUCUAAGACCUGCUUAGAUUUUGUGCUUUAAACAUGUUUCCAACAAAUGAAAAUAAAACUAUUCUUGUCGGCUACAAGCUUGAGUGGUUUUUUGAUGUGGUGUCAGAGUCUCUCGGAUGAAAAAAUUCAGAGUUUGAAUUACGACUUCCCCAUUAUUAAUUGAAGGUAAAUCAAGUCUGUGCUUGUUCGCAUUUCAAGCUCAGCUAGCAUUUUCAUGCCAGAGGGUUAGAGAUAAAACUAUUUAUAUGUUUUUUUACCUACAAGUUCAUGAUUUUUAAGUUGAGUGGUUCCUUGAUAUGAAUCAUAACUAAAGUACUAUUGUUACCCUAAAACAUGUAUGUUUGGUUAAUUUACUUGAAAAUAUGCUUUCAUGCUCACUCACUAAUGUUGAUCAUAAGUAGGUAGGGGAAUAAAUAAAGUGAAUCUUAUUGAUAUACUCCUCAGAAAGCUUCUGUAGAAAAGUCUCUAUCGUCCUCUUGGUUAUAGGGUUGCCAGUCCCUUCUUUUGCACCAUGAUUUUUGGGGAAGCACUAAUAAUAAAAAAAAAGCUCCUGGUCAAAUACUUAUACUGUCCAAAAUACUGAACGUGGACUUUUUGUUAGUUGGAAAUUGUAUAUACUUGAUUGAUUUUCUUACAAAUAUACAUUUAAACUUUUACAAUUUGAAAUCCAAUGUGAUAAUGACUCAACAUGAUUGAAAUCAAGGAAUAAACAAGGUGAUCUAGUCAUGGAGCAUCGUACACUUGUGGGCUCUAGGGAAGGUUGAUAUGUAUAGCCUUGCCCUUUUUUUGCAGAGUGUCUAAUUGAAAACAAGGAUGUAUUGGAUAAAUUAGUUUCCAUUUGACUUACAGUAAACUUUGCCAUAUUUGGAACAUCCUGAGUGAGAUAUACUAGACUAUUUUUACUUCCAUUGUCAAGUGUAACCUUUUGCAGCUUCAAAUUGCUUUGAUCUCCGACAAAAAGUAUUGAUAAGAAAAAGCUUUAGCCAACCCAUUAAGAAAAUAAAUUGCUCCAGCAUUACUUGCUAACAUAUCUUCUCAUGACACCAGGUGAUCCAUUGAAGAUGGCAACGAUUGGUAUCGAAAAUAGGCUUCCUCCCAAAUCAAAAAUUGAACAGUUGUCUGGAAAUCUCACUGCUUUGUUACCACUUCUUUCUGUAAGAAAUUAAGAUGAAUGCACUGCCUAGUUUUUGCACUUUAUGUUGUUUGUUGGAAUAUGAUUCUUCUGCUUUCAAAAAUGAUUUUAGGAUAACAAGUCAAAUAAUGAAAGUAGGAUAAGAUUUAAAUUUGAAGUUAAGAUUUAAAUCAUUUAUGAGUUUGGAUAUGAUUUGGUAGAUAUUUUUAUUAAGAUUUUCCAUUAUAUUUUUCCUAUAUAUAUCGAUAUUUUAAUGAAUAAAAUAACAAUAGCAUUAUAUUUUCUUUUCCUCUACUCCCAAAAACCAACAAUUGGUAUCAAAACUAUUUUUUAAUAGCUUGUGAGAGAUUCAAUACGAGAAAAAAGAAGAAAAAAAGGAAGAUGGAAGCUCAAAAAAAUAUCAUAUGAAGAAAAAAAAAAAUCAAGAAAGACUUCUCCGUGCCACAACCAAUCCAUACCAUAAUAAACCCAUGCCGCAACAAAUCCAUGCCAGCUAUGUCAAGAGAGGACGAACUCCUUUCAAAAAUAUAACAUCAAAGCCAUGCCAAAAGAAGAUGACUUCUUGAACAACAACAAUGCCAAUGCUAAUGUCAAUGUUCAUGCCCAUGCCAACCAAUGCCGAUGUUAUUGCCAAUGUCAAUGUUGAUGUUGAUGCUCAUGCCGAUGUCAAUGUCAAGGGAUCUAAGCAUGCCUAUAAAAUGCAAUAAAAAAAAACUCUUGAAGAGACCGACAAUGUUACAAAAAUGGGAUAAUCUACAAUAAAAGAUGUAAGGAGGAGUUGGAAUAUGCUUCUUCUGCUUUUAAAAAAUUUAUUAUGAUUUUAGGAUAAUAAGUUAAAUUAUGAAGAUAGGAUAAAAUUUAUUUAGAUUAUUUAUGAUUUUGGAUAUGAUUUGAUAGAUAUUUUUGUUAAGAUUUUUUUAUUAUAUUUUUCCCAUGUAUAUAUCUAGGUUUUAAUGAAUAAAAUAAUAACGCUAUUAUAUUUGUUCUUCCUCUCCUCCCCAAAACCAACAUUGUUGUCUUCUUUUUAUUGCUUUUGGUGUCUUUUUAUACUUGUUAUUCGCCAAUAACUAAAGUUUUUGUCAUGUAAUGGACACAAAAUGUUCUGGAAUGUACCUUACCCUGUAGAUUAUUGUAUGGCAUGAGAAGUCUAGGUAGCUAAAGUUUAUUCUGAGUUCAUGCCUGAUUGCUUCUUUCCCCUCUUUAUUAAAAACUUGGUUGAUAUUUAGUCUUUGUAGAUUUAAUGUUCAAAGUCAUAGUCAGUCUGAUUAUAGUUAACAUUUGGUGAGUAUUUCUAUAUCAUUUUAUGGUAGAGUGGCAAAGUAAUGAAAAGUAAUAAAUGUAAGCCAUAAGCUGGUAUUGAAUCCCUUUCACAGUGCAAAGGCUAAGUUGAUUGGAAUACUUUGCUUUCUUAUUAAAGGAAAUACAUGCUACAUGAAUAAGAUUGGUGAUUUUCAGGUUUUGCUGUCCACAGACCAAGACCUUUUUUUCUGUUCUGAAAUAACUUGAUUAAUGUGUAUUCAUAUUAUUAUGAUUCUUUUGAUCAGUUCAAUAUUAUGUUUUAGGGAUAUGAACAGAUAUCAUUAUGUUGGAUUUCAGGGUCUGGCUGAUAUUAUUCCAAAAGAAACUCUUCUUUGGAAGUUGAAACUGCUUAACUCAGCUGCUGCUUAUGCCAAUUCCCGCCUUCAUGCCGUAAAAGCUGAAGUGCUAGUGCUUGCGAGGUCUUCACUCUAUUGACCUUAUGUGGUUUUUCCUUGAUUCUCUCAGAUUAAAUUGCUUCUCUUUUGCUUGCAUUUCAAGUGUUUCUUAAAAUGGUAUAUGGAAAUUGGCAGCUUGUUCUUACUAUGGCAUGAUUCAAUCAAUGAUCAUGUUGCAUCACUAAUGAUGAUGCUAGUAUUUCAUGUCUACGAUUUCUGUUGCAAAAGUUAAUGUAAUGGAUAGUAAACUUUUAAGCCUUAAAUGACCUGUUAGCUUUAGAUUCCUACUACCAACAAUUUGAUAAGUUCACCAUGAAAAAUUUAGGAUUAGUCAAGACAAAUAGAAUCUGGCUUGAUCAGGUCCCAUUAAAAUUUAUACCUGACACCUUGAAAAUACAACAAAAGCUAUGUUUCUCAGACUCAAUUAUGAGCAUUGCGUAUGGAAACACGCCCAGAUGUAAAAAUUAUCUACUUCCAAAAUUUUGUAAAUUUUCCAUCUAAUUUACCACUCAUACCUUAAUUAAUUUUAUCCAACAUGAGUACUAAAGUGAAGUAAUGAGCCAAAGUAACAAUGCUUACCCUCUUUCUCUUAUGUUGGUGAGUCCUAAAGGUUCUUCAAAUCUAUUUACUGCCUCCAAAUAUUAGCACUUGUGCAUUUGGUUACUAAAAUAAAAGAUAGACAUUGUUUCAUUUGUUUCCUAUUCUAUUUUUAGAUUAUAGAUGCUGUAUGCUCUCUGACAUUUAGAAGCAUGAUUGGACAAAAUGCGUUCUCAUCUAUGUUGGUAUUUCUGCUAUCAGCAUAUCACAAUGCAGCGCGUGAUUACUUAAUUAAGGAUCAGACAAAUGUAUACCUUGUUGGAAAAUGAUGCCCUUUUGCUUCUUGUGCUUGAUUUUCUUGUUGGUACUGUGUGCAAAAUCGCCUUAGAAUUGAUAAAUACUAUGUAGUAUUAAAGUUUUGUGUUGGUGUAUUUAUUAUAGUGGCAAAGAUUAUAUGCUUCCCAGUGCUGAUGAAGCUAAGCGUCUUAAAAGUUCACUACAAAAUUGCAACGUUCGUCUCUUCAAAGACCAUGGGCAUACAAUUUUACUGGUAUGUGACAAGCAGCAUGUUUGUGAGUAUGUAUCUGAAUUAAGUGGAUGAGAGAUAAGUGUCUUGGAUACUUUCUAGACCCCUUAUAACUAUUUCACAUCAAUAGAGCUUCUGGUCAGUAUAGAAAUUUUGCUUGUCUGUUAAAGUUUAAUCAACACCUUAAAUCAUUGGUGAUUGAAUAAAUGAAUCACCAUUUCAACCAAUUGCAGUCAGUUUUAUGUCAACUGUCUUUUGUGUAUUCGGUGUUUAUGUUGAUGAGAUGAUCCAGAGAUUGGGAAUUGAAUUCCCUUCUCCUUAAACUUCAGUUUCUCAAAACAAAAAUACUUGGUGGAGUGAAUCACUAUGGUGAACAGUUGUAUGCAAACUAUUUUAAGUGAAUGGACAAAUACAAAAAUGGAAGGAAACUUAUAAAAAUUUUAUAGUUCACUGCAGAAAUACAAAAAGUGAAAAUAUAUAUAAUAGAAUGUAGAAAGUAAAUGCAACAUUGUAGUAAGUCGCGAUACUUGGCAAAAUUCUUCUCAAGAAGGGGUUUAUUUUUGUGAAACUAGUAAACAAGUGUAUGGACACAUUUUAACUGCUGAAUAUAAUGCUUCUUUUUGUCAUAAUAAGUGGUGUUUUUGCUUCAUGGGUAUUUUCUGAAAACAUAUGCUUUUGGUGCUUUUCUUCGGACAUGAUCUCAAUGUUUACCUAAGCCCCCAAAUCUGAAGCAUUGAAACUACUGUCCGAUGUAUCUAAAAACAAUUAGUAUUGAAACAAGCUAAAAGAUCAAGGUCUCAACUUUGAAAUACUUUGCAUCAAUAUUUGUAAUCUUUCAGAAAUUGAGGCAUUGAAUGAAAUUCAUAGAAGCAUGUUGAUGGAUAUUAUAUAACUACCAUCUUUUGGUCAUUUUUGUUAUGAUCCAAUUCUGAGACUGUUAUACAUGGAGUAGAGUAUGGAUGUUUUGUACUUUGUCAUUUGUAACUAAUGAGAAUAUUCCAAAGUUCUGGGGAAUUACCGUGAUAAAUUUAUGCUUAAGACAAGUGCAGUGCUCCUAAAUUUUUCUUGUUUCUAGGUGAUAUGUAAGGCCAGUUGAAUUGGUUUGUAGUUUGUACCCAUAACUUUUACGAUAUGAAGCUUUUCUCUUUACUGCUCACAAGCUUCUCUUACGUGGAAAAACUUAACUGGCUGCUUUUGUCUUCUUUCUAAUCCCUCUAAUAGAACCUUCUCUUUUAUGGCACAGGAGGUUGGAAUUAGUCUGCUCACUAUUAUUAAAGGUACUUCCAAAUAUCGUUGUUCAAGGAGGCUCGAUUUUGUCUCAGACUUUGUACCCCCUAGUAUGUCAGAAUUCAAAUAUGCCUCUGAUGAAGCUUUUGGGUAAUCCAGCAGAUUUCUUAUAUGUAGUCUCUUCAAACUUAAUGGCCAUUCUAGGUUGCUUGAUCAGCUUACUGAAAUCUAUGGUUGUGUCACAUUUGUGCUUAUGAUGAGACCAAGGGCAUUUGAUCCUCAUCAAGCCUGAACCUUUUAUUUUCUUAUCGUUCACACUUAGAUUAGAUGGUUAAAAUAAAUUAAAGUUAAAAUUUAGGUUUUUAUCUGUCCACUGCUUAUUCUAUUUGCGUUUCAGUCUUUACUUCUCACUCAAUCUUCCAUCGUUGCUUGUCUUAGAACUAAAAACUUUUAAAAUUGCUAGCAUGUAUAUCAAUGAUUAUAAUUGUUGACUUGUUUGCUGAUUCUAGGGAUAUGAUUUGAUUAGAAUUCUUAAUUAUUUCUGUAGUAAUUAUUUGAUUAUUUGCAUCCUGUUUAGAUAUAAUUCUUUUUAUAUAAAUAGUCAUGUAAAUCAAUUGUAAAGAUCAAGAGUGAAAUACAAAAUUACUCUAAACUUUCCUAACAUUCUUUAUGGUAUUAGGGUUUUUCCUGAUUUUAAGGUUUAAAUUCAAUUUUUUUUCCUUUUUAGGGUUUCAAAACCUAAAUCUACCUUUUUGGUACUAACCCAUCUAGGAACCUUUCCACCUCUCACUGUCGACACCAAGGGAAUUGUCGGACCGUCGCCGACCCGACAGUCGACUCCGACACCGGAAAAGCCUGCACGUGAGGCUCACGCGCCUUCCCUUCCCAGCCCGUGAUACAUCGCCUGACGCUGCUUCAUCGCUCCGAUCACUCCGGCGACGAAUUUGAUUGUCUUUUCGGCCUUCUCAUGCCGCUACCCAAUCUUUUGGUGAUUCGGUUGGCUCUCUUGUGUGUACAACCUUGGGUAAUCCCUAUUCUUUCAUGGUUCAUUUGUCUUUACCAUGGCAGAAAGUAAACGAGUCUCAAUGGCAGAAGGUAAAAGGGUCUCGAUUCUUAAUUCUGAUAAUCCUUCCUUGCAAACUAGUCCCAUAAAACUUGAUGGAACUAAUUAUCUUGUUUGGUCAAGGUUUUGUUUGUUAUUUAUCAAGGAUAGAGGACUAUAGGGUUAUGUUACUGGUAACAAUAAGAAGCAACCGGAUGAGAGUGAUCUAGAUUUUCCUCAAUGAGACUUGGAUAAUUGUCUUAUUAUAAUAUGGUUACUUAACUCUAUGUAAUCUUAUAUAUCUAAAUCCUAUUUGUUAAUUAAUACUGUUGCAAAAAUAUGGAAGGUCUUGUCCUUAACUUAUUCCAAGAUUGGGAAUGAUGCCCAAAUUUAUGAUAUUUGGAAUAAGACCCAUAGUACUAAGCAAGAAGAAAUGAUUAUUUCCUAAUUUUAUUCUGAGUUAUGUGGCUUAUGGCAGGAACGUAGAUUACUAUCAAGAUUUCUAGGCAGACUGCACUGGAGAUGCAGUCAAAUUUCGGAGAAUGAUUGAAAAGGAGCAGUCUAUGAUUUUCUUGCAGGGUUAAAUAACGAAUAUGAUCCAAUUCGGGUCCAAGUGUUGGGAAAAAAUCCUUUUCCUUCUAGAAAAGGCUCACGCCCAUGUUCAACAAGAGGAAAGUUGUCGAUAUGCUAUGCUCUAUACUACACCAGAUGAAAAGGUUGGAUUGACUACUAGUUUGAGCACACCACAACCUUCUAAUUCUGAGAAAAAUCACCUACAUUGUGGCUAUUAUGGGAAACCGAGGCAUAUCAAGGAGACUUAUUGGAAGUUACAUGGUCGUUCCACUAGAGGCCGUGGUGGGAAAUGAGGUAAUUCUAGAACUCACGGUAAUUUAGCAGAAACUGUGGAGGAGCCCUUUAAGGAGACAACAAUGACUGAGUUCCUUUCUCCCAAUGAAAUACAGAGUCUCAGGCGCCUCCUGUCUCAUAUUGACCUCUUCAUCCUCCGAUGCCACAUCUAACUUUGUAAAGUCAGGUAAUGUUUCCUCUCUUGAUAAUGUUCCAUAGAUUAUUGAUUCUGGUGCGAAUAGAUACAUGACAGACUCUUCUAAAGGCUUUCGCAAUUAUUUUCCUUCUCUAACUAAAGAUAGUGUCAGAAUUGCUGAUGACUCUUUUACUCCUAUAUCCGAAACAUGUUCUGUUAUUUGCACACCCAAUAUUAAAUUAUCAUUUGUCCUUCAUGUUUCCUGCUUUCCUGUCAACCUUUUAUUUGUCGGUGCUAUCACCAAUGCUCUUAACUGUAAAAUUGAAUUCUUCCUGAUCAUUGUGUUAUUCAGGAUCUUCACAUGGGGAAGAGGAUGGGCAAUGCUAGGCUGCAUGAUGACUUAUACAUGUUGGAAGGUGAUCUAGGUUCUUCGAUAUCUCAAGCCUGUUUUAGAGAAAAUAAGGAUGUCAAUCAGGAAAUAAUACAAUAGCACAGGCGGUUAGAGCACCCAUCAUUUUUUGUCUUAGAAAAAAUUUAUCCUAAUUUGUUUGCUAGAAUUCAGUUUGGUUUUUUAUUUUGUGAUGUGCGUGAGUAUGCUAAGCACACUAAAACCUUAUAUCUUUUGAGUCAUAAUAAAAGCCAAAUUCCUUUUGUGACUAUUCAUUCUGAUGUUUGGGGGCCUACUCAAACUGUCUCCUUAUAUGAUAAUUGAUGGUUUGUCAUCUUUAUUGAUUAUUGCACUCGAAUGACUUGGGUCUAUUUGAUUAAAGCUAAAGGUGAUGUCUUUUCUUGUUUUUGGUUUUUUCAUAAGAUGAUUUGUACUCAAUCUGAUACUAAGGUGAAAAUUUUGAGAACUGACAAUGGGAGAAAAUAUAUGGAUAGUAGUUUUUCUGCUUAUUUGGAGAAUAAUGGGAUAGCACACCAGACUAGUUGUCCUUAUAAUAAUGCUUAAAAUGGCGUUGCUAAAAGGAAAAAUAGGCAUCUAUUGGAGGUAGCUCUAUCUCUUAUGUUCACCAUGAAUCUACCCAAAGCAUAUUGGGGAGAUGCGGUCCUUGUAUCUGCUUAUCUUAUCAAUAGAACGUCCCCUUAAGGCCCUUGACUUUAUGAGUCCUUUGGAGGUUCUACAAGGGAAUAAUUCAUGCAUUGUUCCACCAAAAGUAUUUAAAUGUGUUUGCUUUGUCCAUAUUAGGAUGGCAGGGGAGUUAGACCCUAAGACCCUUAAACGUGUGUUUGUUGGGUAUUCUUCGACACAGAAGGAUCACCCUCCAUCUAGAAAAUACUUUGUCGGUAUGGAUGUUAUCUUUCGAGAAACUAAACCCUACUUCAGUACCAUCCACUUACCUCUUCAGAGGAAGAAUAAUGAGCAAGAAAAGGUGAUUCCAAAUUCUGUGAUUCUGAAUGAUAUGAUUCAGCUACAGAGUUUGAGUUUUAGUAGACAGGGGAGAUGUCCAAUCAGGGGGGAGAGAAUUGGACGUUCGGACAAGCUAGAUUUGAGGAGAUAUUCGAGGAGAGACAAGACAGAAGAAGCCAUUAUGCAGUCUACUCAGAGUCUUCUUCUGGUGAGUUACCCACAACUCUUAAAUUCUCCAAUAACAUAGAUAAACUUAUUGUACAAAGAAAAGUGGUCAGAUCUUAUACUAAACAUCCUAUUUCUAACUUUGUUUCUUAUAAAUCCUUGUCUCCCUCCUAUAGAGCCUUUGCCUUGUCUAUUUCCUCUGUGUCUAUUCCACAGAAUUAGAAGGAAGCUCUUGCAGAUCCUAAAUGGAAGGGAGCAAUAAUUGAAGAGAUGAAAGUAUUGGCAAAAAAUGAGACCUGAGAGCUUGUCACUCUUCCACCUGGAAAGAAACUCUUUGGUUGUAUGUGGGAGUUCAUAGUGAAACACAAAGUUGAUGGCCAGAUUGGUUGUUAAAGGAUUAACCCAAAUCUAUAGAGUGGAUUAUCAAGAGACAUUUGCCCUAGUUGCAAAAAUGAACUCAAUCUCCUAUUAUCUUGCGUAGCCAACUUAGACUGGGACUUGCAAUAAUUUGAAGUGAAAAAUGCUUUUCUCCAUGGAGAUGUAGAGGAAGAAGUGUUCAUGAAAAUCCUUUCUGGGUUCGUUGAUGAGAAGACACAAGGAAAAGUAUGCAGGUUAAAAAAGUCUUUGUAUGGGCUAAAACAAUCUCUCAGACCUUAGUUUGACAGGUUUAGCAGAGUCACGAUGUCCUUUGGUUACCAACAGAGCAAUGCUGAUCACACUUUGUUUAUCAAAUAUAACAAGGAUAAGAUCGCCCUUCUUAUUGUGUAUGUUGAUAAUAUAGUAGUGACAGGUGAUGACAAAGAGAAAAUGGCUCAACUAGAAAGGUUGUUGGCUCAAGAAUUUGAAAUCAAAGAUCUAGGAAAAUUGCAAUAUUUCCUAGGUAUUGAGGUGGCUAGAUCAGAAAAAGAAAUCUUCAUCUCCUAAAGAAAGUACAUUAUGGAUCUUUUGGAAGAAACUGGUAUGUUGAGGUGUAAACCAACAGAAUCUUCCAUUGAAAGUAAUCACAGGCUAGAAGCAAAAACUGGUGAGUCCAUGGAUAUUGGAAGAUACCAGAGAUUAGUAGGAAGGUUGAUUUAUCUCUCACACACUUGACCGAAUAUAGCCUAUGCUGUUAGCUUAGUCAGCCAAUUUAUGCAUGACCCUCGCGAGACUCAUAUGCACGCUGUAUUUCGUAUCUUGAGAUACUUAAAGUUUGCGUUAGGGAAAUGACUUCUUUACUUCAAACAUGGUCACCUCCGAGUUAAACUUUUUACAGAUGCAGAUUGGGCAUGAUCUCUCGAUGACAGGAGAUCCACCUCUGGCUACUGCACAGUUUUGGGAGGGAAUCUUGUCAUCUAGAGGAGUAAAAAAUAAAGUGUUGUUGCUCGGUCAAGUAUUGAAGCAGAAUACAGAGCAAUGACCCAAGGUGUGUGUGAACUCUUAUGAUUGCAGAAAUUAUUGGAGGAGUUGAGGUUGGCCGAGAGAGAAAAGAUAACUGUGUAUUUUGACAGCAAAACUACUGUCAGUAUAGCACAAAAUCCAAUCCAAUAUGACCGGAUGAAGCGCAUUGAGAUUGAUCGGCACUUCAUUAAAGAAAAAUUAACAGACGGUGUUUUGAGCUUAGUUCAUGUGAUUUCUACCGGACAACUUGCGGACGUGUUUACUUAAGGUCUCAACAAUAAGAUCUAGCGUAAUCUGAUUUGCAAGUUGGGCAUGUAUGCAUCUUUGCACCAACUUAAAGGAGAGUGUUGACUUAUUUGCUAAUUCUAGCUGAUUCUAGAGAUAUGAUUUAAUUUGAUUAGGAUUCUUAAUUAUCUCUGUAAUAAUUAUUUGAUUAUUUGCUUCCUGUUUAGAUAUGAUUCUUUGUGUAUAAAUAAUUAUGUAAAUUAAUUGUAAAGAUCAAGAGUGAAAUGCAAUAAUAUUCUAAACUUCCUCAAAAUUCUUCAAGAAUUAGUGGUUGAGGUUGAAUCUAGAGGACCUUGGUGUAAAACCAGCUUACUUCUCUGAGUUUGGAUUUGACUGCUGACGCUUACUAGCUUAUUCAAGUUGCAUCCCAUUACAUGAAUUUGUAUCCAGGCUCUAGCUAAUAAGAAAAUCACAUACAUUUCAGAUUUAUAUGUGUUGCUACUGCUGCUGCUAUGUUUUCAACUCUAGAUGAUGGACGGAUAGUGAAAGGCCUUGCUGGGGUUCCAAAGGAAGGUCCUGUCUUGUUUGUUGGUUACCACAUGCUGAUGGGAUUUGAACUUUCGCCUCUCGUAGAAGGAUUCUUGAGAGAGAAAAUUGUUGUGCGUGGUCUAGCACAUCCAGUACUCUUUACAGAUUCGCAGGAAACUUCAACUUCUGAAUUUUCUCUACAAGAUUGGUUGAAAGUAAUGGGUGCUGUACCAGUUACAGCUAGUAAUAUUUUCAGAUUGCUUUCAACAAAAUCGCAUGUGCUUCUUUAUCCUGGAGGUGCACGGGAGGCUCUGCAUUAUAAGGUACUCCAACUUUCUUGCAGUCAAUUCAUGAAGUUUUGGUGGAAAGCUGAAGUCAAAGAUAUAUAUAUAUAUAUAUAUAUAUAUAUAUUUUUCUAAUUUCAUCAUAUGGAAAUUAUUGAAGUUGGUUUACAUGUUCACAUUGUUGUUAUGCAAGCCGUAGGCACCAUAUUAGUAGUUUGCUGCUCCAUACUUGCAAAAACAUCUCGUAUGCUAUUCCACCAUCCCCAUAGCUGCUACCUUACCAUUACUACUUUGCAUAAUUAAGCUAUAUUUUUCAAGUCCUCACAGUUGUAAGAAUUCUGUUAUUUCCAGGGUGAAGAGUAUAAAUUAUGUUGGCCUAAACAACAAGAAUUUGUGAGAAUGGCUGCAAGGUUUGGGGCCACAAUUGUGCCAUUUGGGACUGUAGGAGAAGAUGACAUAGCAGAAGUGAGUUUUACAUUCCCUCUGCUACCACAAUAAAUUUUCUAUACUAGACCCUAUUCCUGAUGGUACAGAUUUUUUUGUCUGCUUUGGAUAUGGAACAUGCUUCCUUCUUUUCUAUUUCUUUAUUGUCAGCUAGAAAUUAACGUAGUUUCUUUUAAUGAUUAUACCCAAAAAGCAAGAGAAAUUUUGGUUUUCUUAUUUAUUUAUGCAAACAAUCCAAAAACUUUGGUCUUAUUUAUGACCAUUUUUUAUUUUUAAUUUUAUAAACACUUAAACAUUUGUGUCAAUCAUACGUGCUGAGAGCAUAAUAAUUAAUGGAUGGAAGUGGAUAUGUGCCUCCUCUAGUAGAAAAUUUAGGUGAACUAGACUUACUAUUUUCUUAUUCAAUAUUUUGUGCAUAUGCAAAUUCGCAGGGCCCAGUAUCUGGUGGAUUUAAGCAUUUCUGAUAUUUUUGUCUCCUUUCCUUCAUAUGCAUUUUGGAUAUUUUUGUAAAAACUUCCCUUGCUUUUUCUAAACUUCAGUUUGCAGUAAUUCUCAUGCUAAUUGUAAAACCUUAAAAGCUGUUUGUUUUCUGGUUGUGGCAGUUGGCUCUUGACUACAACGACCUAAAGCAAAUCCCUUUGGUUAAUGACUUUAUUAGAGAGAUGAGUCGCAAUGGUCCGAGACCCAGGUGAUUACUCUCAUGCAGUGACAUUUGAUCUGCUGACUAGAAAUGAAAACAAUAUCAGCUUAAGACACUAGCUAGAUUUGAAUCUGCAUUGACAAAGUGUAUGAUCUGAUUACAGAGAUGAGAGUGCAGGAGAGGUUGCCAGCCAAGAUAUAUUUAUCCCAGGACUUUUGCCUAAGGUUCCUGGCCGAUUUUAUUACCUCUUCGGAAAGCCCAUUGAAACGAAGGGGAAGGAAGAGCUUCUGAAAGACAAAAACUAUGCAAAUGAGUUGUACUUGCAGGUAAAAUCUGAUGUUGAACACAAUAUUGACUACUUGUUGAAGAAGAGAGAGGAGGAUCCUUAUAGGAGUGUCAUUGAUAGAACAUUAUAUCAUGCAAUUUAUCAUCCUCGGCAAGAGGUUCCAUCCUUUGAUCCCUGAAAUAAGGAUAGACAAGGCAGAUUUAGGUACCUAAACUUGUACAAGGUUCCAUUUACUGAAAAUGAAUUCUGUACAAAGCACAAAGUUAUUUGUAAUAAAAGCUUUGGUGCUUCACCAGGUUCUCAUUUGUAGGAUUACCUUAUGAUUCUUAACAGUUGUAUCAAUGGCGAGUUUAAAUCGUGCUGGACUGGCUUUCCUGCUUAAAUUACACUUUCUGGAAGCUCCAUAAUCACUAUAGUUCAUGGGGUACCUGCCAACUGAACCAAAUUGGAGUACGCAAUUCUUUCACCGAGAACUUUUAACAAAGUGGAGGCCGGCGGGCCCAGCUUUGGCCCUUUGCAGGAAAUUGGCGCCAGACCAUUACAGCGACAGGCUUUCCUAGAAAUACCGGUGGCGAUAACAAGUUCAAUGAUUAUAGCAACUAAGGAUGGUAGAAGCCCAGUGGUAAUGAUGCAUAUCUAAAUGACAGUUGAUUUUGGUUUCUUCAUUAAGCAAUGGAACCAGCCAUUGUCACCAGCGGUGGUGGUCUAGGCCAAGUCAUUUGAAAAUGGGUGCAACUCCCAAUUCCACCAUCUCCAAGCCAACAAGUGAUAUCGGCAUAGCAACAGGAUUUUUCAAGGAACCCGCCUAAACUUCUGCUAAAACUGAUCUACGUUUCGGGUCUGCAGAGCCAGCCUAUGUGAAUCGAAGCUAGCCAAUGGAGCCUGCCAUGAUAACCCGCAGCCCGUGGGUCAGGCCAAGUUUUGCAACAUGGACCUAACCACCUGACACCAACCUCUCCAAAUUUACAAGUGAUAUCAAUGGCAGCCAUUGGAUUCUGAGAGAAGCCGCCGAGCCUCCUGUCUAUACAGCUACCAACAGCUGGGAUACUGAGCCAGGCUUCACAACAAAAACCAUCGGCAGCAGGGAAGCUUCAAAGUUGUUCAAUUUUGCAUCCACAUGAACACGAUGUUUAAAUAAUGAAUAAAUUCUAAUUUGCUAGAAAAGUGAACUUGUGGAAAUUAUCUUCCUACCAUUGCUAUUGCUCGCAGAACUUAUGCUAAAUUUUCCAAGUUCUUAAACCUAAAGUAUUUGGGUAAAUUUCUUAAAUUUUAAUAUAAUUAAUGAAUCGGUUCCUACUUUUAAAAUUUAACACUUAAAUUUUUGAGUUUUCAAGCCAUUUUCCUAUCCAAUUUUUUUAAGAGUCAUAGAAAUUGACCAUUUUCCUAUCCAUUUUUUUAAAAAAAGUCAUAGAAAUAUCAAUUAUGUUCGAUUAUGAAAUUUUAAAAUUGAAUAUUUAAUAAAUUUUAAACAUUUUUUUUUUGUAAUUAUUAUUUAUUAAUAAAACUAUUAAUUUAAAUCCAUUAAUUGAUAUUACAUUAGAUCGAAAAAUUAGAAGAAAAAAAUAUGAAUUCAAAUAUUUUCUAACAAAUCUAAAUGUACAUUUAAACAUUUCAAGGAUUUAAAUCAAACUCAUUAGUGAAUUAAAAUUAUCACAUAUUCAUAAAAUUCAAAUAUAAUAGAUUAAGAGAGCCUAAAUUCAUGACAUCUAGAUUCAAAAUAAAAUAAUAAGCAAUUGUGAGAAGCAAUAAAUUCAAUGAUAAAUUCAUAAAAUUCAAAUCCAUUACAUUCAAGUUUAUCAAACCUAUGUAAAUACAUUCAUAAAACGAUUGAUUUGCCUAUUGAGACCCCAAAAAUACUAGUUUACAACUCACGAGAAUUCACCUUGCAAGGUAUUGGAGGAUGACUAAAACCUGAAUGAUGGCAGCAGUACAGGUGAUUAAAGCAUGGUUGCUGGCAGCUAUGGAGAAUGAUUACAGCAUGGUGAUGGCGCGAAUGGAGGAUGAUUGCAAAGAGAAGAAAGGGAUGAGCUGAGAGAACCAAAGAGGAUGUGGGAAUGAGGAAAAUAUGUGAAUGGAUCAAGAAUUGGAAUCAUGUGUAAAGGGAAAAGAGAAUUGAAAUAGUGUGGAAUGGAAAUAACUUCAUUUGUGCAUAUGGAGUUUUUGGGUUGAGAAAAAUAAGAAAGAGAGAAAUUAGGUGUGGAAGGGUAUUCUUUUUUUUGUAGCACUGGUAUGUGAAGAACAAUUUAUAUUUUGGCAGCAUAUCACGAAAGUUGAAGAAUUUGGAGUUGAAGAAGCUAGCAGGAAGUCCUCAGUCGCUGCUAUAUUGGAUGGUAUUGAGAAGGGAAUAAAAUUUGCGUAGAGAGAGAGAAAAAAUCAAAGAGCCCGUUGAGGAAGGAGACUAAUGGGUAAUUAUGGAAUUUUGCUUUUUUUUAAAAAUAAUAUAUAUAUAAAUUUGUGUGUUUGUACUAAAUAACAUAUUUAAUAUAUUUUAUUUUUAUUUUUAUAUUUAAUAAUAUAAUUAAUUAAUAUAUUCAUAAUAAAUAUAAUUUAUUAUCAUUUGUAUAUAAUUUUUUUAUUAAUAUAAAUAAUCAUUAUUAUUACAAUUUAUAUAUAACUUUUUAAUUUUUUAUUCCUACUAUAUAACUUUUUAAUUUUUUAUAAUUUUUAACAUAAUAUAUUAAUCAUAAUAAAAUAUAAAUUUUAAUAUAUAUUUUAUUUUUAUUUUAAUAAUAAAAAAUCUAAAAAAAAUUAUAACUAAGACUAUUAACCAAUUGAUACUAAAUAUUUUUUUUAAUAAAUAUAAAUAUAAUUUUUUUAAAUAGAAAUUAAAAAAAUAAAACUGAGAUCUCUCGAAUUAUUAAUUUUACUCAAAUAUCUUUAUCGCUAAACUAAACAGUGCAUAAAUAUAUACAUACACUAGACUUUAAAAUAGAUUGAUGGAAGAUUAUCAAUUGUCACUAUUAAACUUAUAUAUGAGAGAUUACUAAAUGCAUCGAAAAUUCUAUAUAAUUAUGUGAUGUGAUACAAAUUUAUAAUUUUUUUAUUUUAAAUUUUAUUUUUAUAUAAAUAAUAAUUAAUAUAUAUUAAAUAUAAUUUAUUAUUUUCACUAUCACUAUUAAUAUACCACCUUUUAAUUUCCUCCCACUAUCUUUUACUAUAAUAAAUACAAUUUAUUAUAUUGAUUAUAAGGUACCUUUUGAUUUUUUUAUUAUUAUAUUAUAAUAAACAUUUUAUUAUAUUUUUAUUAUUAAAAAAAUUUAUUAUAUUUUUUAUUUUAAUAAUAAAUAAAAUAUUAAAAAUAUAUUUAUAAAAAUUAGAUAAUGAAAAUGUUUAGAUAAUAAAAUAAAUGAUUAUUAAUAAAUAUAUUUUAUAUAUUUAUUUAUUUAUUAGUAAUAAUUCUAUAACACAAUAUUAUGUUAAAACUUUUUAUUAUUUGAUAAUACUGUGAUUUAUUGAUUUGAUAAUUUUUUGAAAUUAUAUUUAAAAUAAUCUAAUUAAUAAAUGAUUAGAUAUCUGUGAUUUAUUAAUUUGAUAAUUCUUUUUGAAUAGAAAGAAUUAGACGAGAAUCUAUCUAAAUGUUAAGAUUUUUUUAUUUAAAUAAUUAUUAGAUUUAAAUUAUUCAAAUGAUUUUGAUUUUUAAGUAAUAUAUAAAAUAAGAUAUAUUAAUAAAAUUAAAUAUUUUAUUUUAUAAUUUUUUUAUUAUUUUAAAAUUAAAAAAAAUAAAAUAAAAUAUUAUAAUUUAUUAUCCAUCAAUAAAUGAUUUCAAGUUUCAUAAAUUUCAAAUCAAGAUAUGAAAAAAACUAUUUUGCUUCUGGAGUGAAUUCAUAAAAGCAAUUAUUUUAUAAAAUAUUAAUGUGGAAAGUUUUAAUAUCCGCGUGGCAAACGACUCGUUUUAAUGCAAUUAUCCGAGUUAAGAAUCGUCCGUUGAGCGCCAGAGAUAGAGAGUACGUAUUGCAUGUGUUGCUAGACAAGAACCAGAGAAAUUCAGGAAAAUGGAAAUGGCAUGUGCAGAAGCAGAAAAAAUGGACCUCUCAAAGCUCAAGAUAAAUAAAACUAGGUAAAAGUAUUAUUAUUAUUAUUUUAGCUAGAAUAUCCAAAAUUCAUGAACCUUCUUAUCCCGCAAAUCAUUUUUUUCCCUCGGUUCAUUCGCAUUCCCCUGUUAGCUGUGGCUCUCACAAUUUUUCUUGUCAAAGAAUCUAUAUUGCUGCCACUUUUAUUUAUCUUGUCUCACAUAGGAACUCUAGAACUAGGUGUACUACAAACUUUACACUUCCUUUUGUUUUCUGUGUUUGCUUCGCCUUUUUGGGGGUGGGUCUUAAUUGUCUUGAUAAGCAUGAAGGAUGUGUUUUUUUUUCUGUUAGAGUGAUUUAGGGACAACAUUUUAAGCGUGUUUGGUAUCAUUUGCUGAUAUUUCAAGUUGAGAUCCUUGCGUUUUUAUUUUCUGUUGCUGCUUGGCACUUGAAACUGGGAGGGAUUCUAAUUUUCUCAAUAGCCGAAUCUUGAAAAGGGUCUAAAAAAUUCACAUAUAUUUAGUGCUUUGAUUCUAGUUACAGUGUUCCGGUCUUCAUUGAAUCACCAGGCGUAUUUGGCAGUUGCAGCCCUUUUUAAGUGCUAUAGGACUUGAAAAGGGUCGGCUGUUACUGCUUAGCGCCUCAACGAAGUCUCAAGUUGUCCCAAGGUUAAUAUUAGGGGUGAGAAAUUUAUGGGUUCUCCAUUAUUCUGCGCAUUUUGUUAAUUUGAAGCCCUUUUCAAGUGCUUGAAAAGUUUCCAAAGUUUAUUUAUAGUUGCAAGCUUGGAAGUUGUUGCAAGUUGUUCUUCAUAAAAGUUGUAAGCUUUGUGCCAUUGUUGUACGGGCCAUGGCAUCAGUUUUUUCUUUCCAGCUAUCACCUUACUUUUUGACAAAUUCAGUAAUCAAGGGUCAGUUUCGAGUGAGAGUUCAGAAUGUAGGUAGUAGGGAAUCGAAAGUGCUCUCCUCUGAUUCAAUUGCAGUGAAUAAAACUUCUUUCAUUGAUCAGAAAAAGAAGAAUGGAGU